AGGGCUUCUGUACCUUCUGUACAAUCUCAAUUUUGAUCAGUUCUUACUUGAAUUCUGUCCCCACAUUGAGUAAACAAAAGGGAAAUCAAUGGAAGAUGAACUGGAUCAAAUCUUAGGAAUUAGAUCAGUGGAGACCAAUAUUGUUUGGCAGAACCAAUCUUAGUGUGUAUAUGGUUCAACUAUUAUUUUUUACCUUUUCUGCUUCUAUUUUACCUCUAUUUUCUUUAAUCUCUUGUGUAUCUUGCCCUUUAGAUCAUUGAAGCUUUUAUCUUGAUUUCCUUCUGCCAUGGGUGUUGUUAUUGGUGGGUGAGCCACACUGAAUUCAUAUCUCUGUAGUUUGCUCUUUCUUGGCUUUUUGAUAUUUUGCUAUCAUGUCAUGCCAUUUUUCAUUAUGCCAGUACCCAAUGUAUUCAAUCAAUCCCACCACCUAUACAUCACAAAAGAAAGGUAACAUUUUCCUUUACUUUUUUUCUCUUCGUUUUGCUCAUUCUAUCAAAUUUCUCUCUGGACAAGCUUUAAUUGAUGUAUGAAAUGCUCUGACAUGCAACUGUAGCUUAUAUGGUUUCUUUGACAUAACUAUGUAGAACAUGGGCAUCUACAGGCUUCAUUUAGUAGGAUUCACCAAUUUUAUUGUGGAAAUUAUCUGAAUUUUUGCUUUCGUAAUAUAGUUUCUCCUAUAUUAUUUUUUCUCAGGAGAUUUUUUGUAAGAAUGCACAACCUUCAAACUGGCAAUUUCUUCAUGACCUAUAUAAAGAAGAGUGCUCUGGAAAAUAUGUAAGUAGCAGUCAUACUAGUUCAACAUUUGAAGCCUUGUAUGGCCAUUUCCUCCCUGUAGCUCAAUUGUAAUUUGUCAAGUGUUUUCUAUAAGAGGAAUAGUAGGUUGUGAGGAUCGGAAGAAGCUCCACCCCCACUCCCAGCUUCUGAAACUAUAUGAUGAGGCUGUUUGGGCUAUGGUUGUUUAUUUAUUCAUUCAAGCAUUGAAGUUGUCACUUGUCUUGCCAUUGUGGUUGUUGAAACAGUUGCUAUGGCGAAUUGUUUGAGUUGACACCUUAUGAACUCCAAUGCACCUAAUAUUGGAUAUCUGUACAAAAGUAUUGGCACAGAUUUGGGUGAGUCCCAUGUAUGUGGUUCUUCAGUUUCCCUAUGUAUCAUUCAAUGGUUAUCCUCUUUUUUCUUCUAA